CCUACGGGUGGCAGCAGUGGGGAAUAUUGGGCAAUGGGCGCAAGCCUGACCCAGCAACGCCGCGUGAAGGAAGAAGGCUUUCGGGUUGUAAACUUCUUUUAUGAGGGACGAAACAAAUGACGGUACCUCAUGAAUAAGCCACGGCUAACUACGUGCCAGCAGCCGCGGUAAUACGUAGGUGGCAAGCGUUAUCCGGAUUUACUGGGUGUAAAGCGCAUGCAGGUGGUUUGUUAAGUCAGAUGUGAAAGCCCGGGGCUCAACCUCGGAAUAGCAUUUGAAACUGGCAGACUAGAGUACUGUAGAGGGGGGUAGAAUUUCAGGUGUAGCGGUGAAAUGCGUAGAGAUCUGAAGGAAUACCGGUGGCGAAGGCGGCCCCCUGGACAGAUACUGACACUCAGAUGCGAAAGCGUGGGGAGCAAACAGGAUUAGAUACCCGGGUAGUC
rnacentral:rRNA from 1 species